GACGGAGGGCGCAAGCGUUGUUCGGAAUUACUGGGCGUAAAGCGCGCGCAGGCGGGCGAGCACGUCGGGAGUGAAAGUCCGGGGCUCAACCCCGGGAAUGCUCCCGAUACGGCUGGCCUUGGGACCGGUAGAGGUCGGCGGAAUUCCCGGUGUAGCGGUGGGAUGCGUAGAUAUCGGGAAGAACACCAGUGGCGAAGGCGGCCGACUGGGCCGGAUCCGACGCUGAGGCGCGAAAGCGUGGGGAGCAAACAGG
rnacentral:misc_RNA from 1 species